UUAAAGGUAUGUGCUGAGGCUGUGUCUGC
rnacentral:piRNA from 1 species